rnacentral:rRNA from 1 species
AGUGAACGCUGGCGGUAGGCCUAACACAUGCAAGUCGAACGGCAGCACAGGAGAGCUUGCUCUCUGGGUGGCGAGUGGCAGACGGGUGAGGAGUACAUCGGAAUCUACUUUUUCGUGGGGGAUAACGUAGGGAAACUUACGCUAAUACCGCAUACGACCUACGGGUGAAAGCAGGGGAUCUUCGGACCUUUCGCGAUUGAAUGAGCCGAUGUCGGAUUAGCUAGUUGGCGGGGUAAAGGCCCACCAAGGCGACGAUCCGUAGCUGGUCUGAGAGGAUGAUCAGCCACACUGGAACUGAGACACGGUCCAGACUCCUACGGGAGGCAGCAGUGGGGAAUAUUGGACAAUGGGCGCAAGCCUGAUCCAGCCAUACCGCGUGGGUGAAGAAGGCCUUCGGGUUGUAAAGCCCUUUUGUUGGGAAAGAAAUCCAGCUGGUUAAUACCCGGUUGGGAUGACGGUACCCAAAGAAUAAGCACCGGCUAACUUCGUGCCAGCAGCCGCCGUAA